GGACUACUGGGGUAUCUAAUCCCGUUCGCUCCCCUGGCUUUCGCGCCUCAGCGUCAGUAGAGGUCCAGCCGACCGCUUUCGCCACCGGCGUUCCUUCCGAUAUCAACGCAUUUCACCGCUCCACCGGAAGUUCCGUCGGCCCCUGCCUCCCUCGAGCGUGUCAGUAUCGGGGGCCCUGGUCCGGUUGAGCCGAACGCUUUCACCCCCGACUUGACGCGCCGCCUACGCGCCCUUUAAGCCCAGUGAUUCCGAACAACGUUCGCACGGUUCGUCUUACCGCGGCUGCUGGCAC
rnacentral:rRNA from 3 species